rnacentral:rRNA from 1 species
UACGUAGGGUGCAAGCGUUAAUCGGAAUUACUGGGCGUAAAGUGUGCGCAGGCGGCAGAGCAAGUCGAGUGUGAAAGCCCCGAGCUUAACUUGGGAAUUUGCGCUCGAAAACUACUUUUGCUGGAGUGUGGCAGAGGAAGGUGGAAUUCCACGUGUAGCAGUGAAAUGCGUAGAGAUAGUGGGAGGAACACCGAUGGCGAAGGCAGCCCCCUGGGUCAAGAUUGACGCUCAUGCACGAAAGCGUGGGGAGCAAACAGG